GGUCCUGUGGUGUAGUGGUUAUCACGUUUGCUUCACACGAAGAAGGUCUCCGGUUCGAUCCCGGCCAGAACCU
rfam:Angiostrongylus cantonensis strain Taiwan genome assembly, scaffold: ACAC_contig0001203